GAUGAACGCUGACAGAAUGCUUAACACAUGCAAGUCUUUGGCGAAGCUGUGCUCGCACAGCCUAGCCAAGGCGGACGGGUGAGUAACGCGUAAGGAACUUGCCCUGCAGUCAGGGAUAACAGACGGAAACGACUGAUAAGACCUGGUAAAGUCAGGCGGACUCAUGUCCAGCCUGAUGAAAAGAGAUGCUGCAGGAGAGCCUUGCGUCCUAUUAGCUUGUUGGUGGGGUAACGGCCCACCAAGGCGAUGAUAGGUAGCCGGCCUGAGAGGGUGGACGGCCACAAGGGGACGGAGAUACGGCCGUUACUCCUCCGGGAGGCGGCAGUGGGGAAUAUUGGACAAUGGGGGCAACCCUGAUGCAGCAAUUCUGUGUGCAGAAUGAAGGUUUUCGGAUGGUAAAGAGGUUUCAGCAGGGAAGAAAAAAAUGACGGUACCUGCAGAAGAAGCGACGGCUAAAUACGUG
rnacentral:rRNA from 1 species